UGCUUUUUUCGCCCAGGCGGAGCUCGACCGCGUUCUGAAGAAGUAAACGCUUACAUUGACCAAUAUCGGAGUAUCUAUGGGGUCGAGCCAGUCUGCAAGGUGUUGCAGGUUGCCCCU
rfam:Nitrosomonas europaea ATCC 19718, complete genome